GCCUACGGGGGGCAGCAGUGAGGAAUAUUGGUCAAUGGUCGGGAGACUGAACCAGCCAAGCCGCGUGAGGGAUGAAGGUACAGAGUAUCGUAAACCUCUUUUGUCAGGGAACAAAGGCGGGGACGUGUCCCCGGAUGAGUGUACCUGAAGAAAAAGCAUCGGCUAACUCCGUGCCAGCAGCCGCGGUAAUACGUAGGUGGCGAGCGUUGUCCGGAAUUACUGGGUGUAAAGGGAGUGUAGGCGGGAAAGCAAGUCAGAAGUGAAAACUAUGGGCCUAACCCAUAGCCUGCUUUUGAAACUGUUUU
rnacentral:rRNA from 1 species